rnacentral:rRNA from 1 species
AUUGAACGCUGGCGGAAUGCUUUACACAUGCAAGUCGAGCGGCAGCGCGGGGGCAACCCUGGCGGCGAGCGGCGAACGGGUGAGUAAUACAUCGGAACGUGUCCUUGAGUGGGGGAUAGCUCGGCGAAAGCCGGAUUAAUACCGCAUAAGCUCUGAGGAGGAAAGCGGGGGAUUCGCAAGGACCUCGCGCUGUUGGAGCGGCCGAUGUCGGAUUAGCAGUUGGUGGGGUAAAGGCCCACCAAGGCGACGAUCCGUAGCUGGUCUGAGAGGAUGAUCAGCCACACUGGAACUGAGACACGGUCCAGACUCCUACGGGAGGCAGCAGUGGGGAAUUUUGGACAAUGGGGCAACCCUGAUCCAGCCAUUCCGCGUGAGUGAAGAAGGCC